rnacentral:rRNA from 1 species
UGGACAUUGCAAAGAGUGGCGAACGGGUGAGUAACACGUGGGAAACCUACCUCUUAGCAGGGGAUAACAUUUGGAAACAGAUGCUAAUACCGUAUAACAAUGACAACCGCAUGGUUGUUAUUUAAAAGAUGGUUCUGCUAUCACUAAGAGAUGGUCCCGCGGUGCAUUAGCUAGUUGGUAAGGUAAUGGCUUACCAAGGCGAUGAUGCAUAGCCCGAGUUGAGAGACUGAUCGGCCACAAUGGGACUGAGACACGGCCCAUACUCC